AACGAACGCUGGCGGCAGGCUUAACACAUGCAAGUCGAACGGUAACAGGGUGCUUGCACCGCUGACGAGUGGCGAACGGGUGAGUAAUGCGUCGGAACGUGCCGAGUAGUGGGGGAUAACGCCGCGAAAGUUGUGCUAAUACCGCAUACGUACUGAGGUAGAAAGUGGGGGACCUUCGGGCCUUACGCUAUUCGAGCGGCCGACGUCUGAUAGCUAGUAGGUGAGGUAAAGGCUCACCUAGGCGACGAUCAGUAGCGGGUCUGAGAGGAUGAUCCGCCACACUGGGACUGAGACACGGCCCAGACUCCUACGGGAGGCAGCAGUGGGGAAUUUUGGACAAUGGGCGAAAGCCUGAUCCAGCCAUGCCGCGUGUCUGAAGAAGGCCUUCGGGUUGUAAAGGACUUUUGUCAGGGAGGAAAUCCCUAGCGUUAAUACCGCUGGGGGAUGACAGUACCUGAAGAAUAAGCACCGGCUAACUACGUGCCAGCAGCCGCGGUAAAAC
rnacentral:rRNA from 1 species